UUCCCUCUAGCUAAGUCAGUAAAGAAUUUGCCUGCAGUGCAGAAGACCCAGGUUCAAUCCCUGGGUUGGGAA
rnacentral:tRNA from 1 species